GGGAAACCCUUAUAGGAGGGGAAACCAACAGAGGUGGGCAGAGCACUAGAGCCAAGUUUGCUUUAAGAUGGAGUAUAAGUUUAAGGUAUUUCAAAAUAAAGAGAUUUCCUACUAAAGCUCACAGGUGGUGCAACUCAACCAGAAG